UACAGAGGUCCCAAGCGUUGUUCGGAUUCACUGGGCGUAAAGGGUGCGUAGGCGGUCGGGUAAGUCUGGCGUGAAAUCUCCAAGCCUAACUUGGAAACUGCGUUGGAUACUAUCCGGCUCGAGGAAUGGAGGGGAGACUGGAAUACUUGGUGUAGCAGUGAAAUGCGUAGAUAUCAAGUGGAACACCAGUGGCGAAGGCGAGUCUCUGGGCAGUAACUGACGCUGAGGAGCGAAAGCGUGGGGAGCGAACAGG
rnacentral:rRNA from 1 species